rnacentral:rRNA from 1 species
AACGAACGCUGGCGGCAUGCCUAACACAUGCAAGUCGAACGCGUGUAGCAAUACACGAGUGGCGGACGGGUGAGUAACGCGUGGGAACCUGCCCAAUGGUAGGGAAUAACUGCGGGAAACUGCAGCUAAUACCCUAUGCUCCCUACGGGGGAAAGAUUUAUCGCCAUUGGAGGGGCCCGCGUCGGAUUAGCUAGUUGGCGGGGUAACGGCCCACCAAGGCUACGAUCCGUAGCUGGUCUGAGAGGAUGAUCAGCCACACUGGGACUGAGAUACGGUCCAGACUCCUACGGGAGGCAGCAGUGAGGAAUAUUGGUCAAUGGCCGAAAGGCUGAACCAGCAACGCCGCGUGAGGGAUGAAGGUCUAAGGAUUGUAAACCUCUGUUAGGAGGGACGAAUAGUUCCGUAACGAACUUACGGGAUUUGACGGUACCUCCAG